CGGCUUAUAGUUUAAUUGGUAAAACACACUGCUCAUAACAGUGCAUAUGUGGGUUCAAGUCCCACUGAGCCAA
rfam:Micromonas sp. RCC299 mitochondrion, complete genome.